AUGUGGCUGUUAACUGUGGAUCGGCUUAAUACAAGAGAUAUGAUGGACAGACGACAUUGGACCGUUGAAUCUGGGGUAAAUUGUGCUCUCUGUCAAAGCUGGGUUAGGGAGUCUAGAGAGCAUCUCUUCUUUAACUGCAGGUUUGCACAGAGAUGUUGGAGAAAAAUCAACAGCCAAUGGGAUGCGGGCUCAGAUAUUAUGACUCUCUUUAGGUCUGCAAGGGAUGGCUUCAGCGGCCCUUGUUGCAUGAAAAUCGUUUCUUCGGCCCGAUGGAACAGUCGGAAACAGAGGAAUGAUUUGAUCUUUGAAAAAAAGCCUGCUUCGCUGGUUGGUUGGCACAGAAGAUUGGUCAAUGACCUGAACCUCAUUGCUUAUAGGGUUAAAUCAGUGGACGUUGAACCACUGAAAGCUUGGACUGCCUCUGUUUCUUAA
rnacentral:rRNA from 1 species